rnacentral:rRNA from 1 species
GGGGAAUCUUGCGCAAUGGCCUGACGGCUGACGCAGCGACGCCGCGUGUGGGAGGACGCCCCUCGGGGUGUAAACCACUGUUGCCCGGGACGAACGACUGGUUUCGACCAGUGUGACGGUACCGGGUGAGGAAGCACCGGCUAACUCCGUUCCCGCAGCCGCGGUAAUACGGAGGGUGCGAGCGUUGUCCGGAAUCACUGGGCGUAAAGGGCGCGUAGGCGGUCCGGUAAGCGUGUGGUGAAAGCCCGGGGCUCAACCCCGGGUCGGCCGUGCGAACUGCGGGACUGGAGCACUGUAGAGGCAGGCGGAAUUCCGGGUGUAGCGGUGGAAUGCGUAGAGAUCCGGAAGAACACCGGUGGCGAAGGCGGCCUGCUGGGCAGUAGCUGACGCUGAGGCGCGACAGCGUGGGGAGCAAAC